rnacentral:rRNA from 1 species
AAGCUGGACAUAGUGGACAGAUGCAUCAACAGCCUCCAUGAGAAGCGGCGCUCAACGCGCGAGGCGGGCAUGGAGGGGCUCGUCGGCCUCCUCGAGGGCUUCAUACCGAUGGACAGGAUCGACUACCGGUGCCUCACGAUAUUCUUCCGGUGUAGAGCCUCCCUCAACUCGGGUUCCGCAAGGGAGGCCUUGCUCGCUUACCGCGCCAUUGGCCUCCUCGCGCUCACCGUCGGCGACAACGCCGACUGCUCCAAGGAAAUCCUCACGGGCACGCUCCAGCUCCCCACACUCAUGAAGACGCUACGAGCGUCGUCCGACGACGCGAAGGUGGCAGCUGCUCUCAACUGUCUCGCCAUUGUCACUUUUGCUGCCGCACGUCGCCCGGAGGACGUGGAGCCAUCAAUUAGGGCAAUUUGGGGCGUGAUCAAGAGUUCCAGAGCGGACAAUAGGACCGCCCCCAGAGUCUUGAUCACCGCCUUGUCCGCGUGGGCAUUGCUUCUCACCACCCUCGGUGACUUGAGGACGUACCCAUAUGCCUGGAAAGAGGCAACGAUCCCCUUCCGCGACCUCGCCGAGCUCCUUAACACCGACGACCCGGCCCUCUUGAUGGCAUCUGGCGAGGCGCUCGCAGUGUGUGCGGAGCUCAACUUGAUGCAGCACGCCACUCCUGAGGACAUGGAGACGCUUGAGAUCAAAGUGUCCGACCUCGCAAGCGGCACCCAUGGGAAUGACAAGAAGCUCACCGGACAAAUUAGGGCCAUGUUCCAGCAGAUCGCCGCCAUCAUGAAACGAGGCCAGUGCUCAGAUGAGGAAUUGGUACCGACGACAUGGAGGCAGAGAUGCGUGCUCAUGGUCUCCAAGUGGGCACGACUAGUACAGCUCAACUUUGUAAAGCGGUUCCUAGGCAAGUGUUUCGACAAGCACAUCCAUGACAACCCGCUCUUUCGGGAGUCCUCCUUCAACAAUGUCGCUACCAAUGAGACGAGUGACCUACCCGUCAAGAAGAGCAAACAGCAUAAGUUUGGUAGAGAAAAACAAUAUACUGUGGCCCUGAAGAGAGAUCGCAUGAUUAGCUGGGAAAGCAAGAACGACUUCCUACUUCUUUAA